CUUCACUGCCACACUCUCACCUCUAGCAAAGCAAAACCGAGACACUACCGCCUCCAUCAGUGAAGCACAGUCUCUCGCGUCGAAUCUCUAACCCGUGGAACUUUUCAACCUCAACAUUGCAUGCCUCUGGUCUCAGCCUGAAGAAGACGAAGAAGGAGACAAAGGCCGAGAAAUCUCAUCCUCCAUCUGAAUGAGAAACAGAGGUGGGUGAAGAACACCAAUGGAUCUUCCCAAAGCUAUGUUUUUUUUUUCAAUUUAUUUUCAAACAACGAAUUUUUGAAUGAUUACUUUACUGAAGCCAUCAAAUCGGAAGAUUUUGUUCAAUGUUUUUGGGUUUUUUUUUUUGGGUGUGAUAGACAUCUGUAUGAUUUCGGUUCCUUUUGUUGGGUUAUUUUCUGUGAGAAAAUGAUCUAUCUGAUCAUGCACGUAUCAGCAUAUAUGGCUUUUAUUCUGUUUGAGUUAUUAUUCCGUAUGGUUUUUAUUCACUAUUUGGUAAUUUUCUUCCUGUUGUGUAUAUGCACAUGAUGUAUAUGAUUGGGCCGUUUGCUUUGUGUUUGCCGUGUGGUGGUUGACCGUGCAUGGAAGCUUUGUUUCAGCAGCAGAGAUACCCGUGUCAUGCCGUGUUUAAUGGAUGGAAUUAGUACAACUAAUGUUGGCCGGAUUCAUAGUGUCAAUUUGUUUGGAAGCUUGCUUGUAUUUAAUGACUGUCCACAUCACUUUCAAUAACCCUUCUUAUUCGUUCUAAAAGAGGUUCCUUUAGUUUAUUAUAUUUUUUAUAUUUUGUUUCUUGAAUUUUGCAUGUGGGAUGCAUAUGAAUUGUUAUUUCUUCCCUCUAUCAUAUUGAAUAUGAUGUUGCUAAUGUAUUCUUUUUAUUUUAUUUUAUUUUAUUUUUUAUGGUGAUUAUAAACACAAUGGCAAGCACAUAUGGAGCAGUGGAAAUUUGGAUGAAUGAGCAUGUUUGAAGACUUUGCACAAAUAACUGAGCUGAUUUUGUAUACGACUUUCUUGAGACUUCUUCAAAGAAAAGAAGUGGGCAUUGGCUUAUAUGGUGGUUUGAAGGGGUGGCCACAGUUUCAGAUUUGAUGCAAAGUAAAGAGUUCACCUAUAAUACUUCUUCAAAGAAAAGAAGUGAGCAUUGGCUUAUAUGGCGGUUUGAAGGGGAGGCCACAGUUUCAGAUUUGAUGCAAAGUAAAGAGUUCACCUAUAAUGUUGGGUGUCUACGAGUGGGACGUGAAGAAAACCCUCAGUUGAUCUCUGUUGCAGUAGAUAUCCGUCACUGGUUGCAUAUAGGGGCUAACCUAGAGAAAUAACGUUAAGGAAUAAAGUCUCCUUUGAUUUCUGGCGGAGCUUGACUGGUACAUCUUCAAUGUGUUCAAUUGAAAUUAAAAAUAUGGGCCUACUCUGCAGCAGAAACCGUCAUUUCAGAGGAGUAGAGGCUGAAAAGAAUGCGCACACGAUGCAGAAAUUUAAAAUUAUCUACUUGUUAAUUGAAGCUCAUGAAGGGAGG